rnacentral:rRNA from 1 species
AGCAGUAGCCGCGGUAAUACAGAGGGUGCAAGCGUUAAUCGGAUUUACUGGGCGUAAAGCGUGUGUAGGUGGCUGUUCAAGUCGGUUGUGAAAGCCCUGGGCUCAACCUGGGAAUUGCUUCCGAGACUGAGCAGCUAGAGUACGGUAGAGGGCGGUGGAAUUUCCGGUGUAGCGGUGAAAUGCGUAGAUAUCGGAAGGAACACCAAUGGCGAAGGCAGCCGCCUGGGCCUGUACUGACACUGAGACACGAAAGCGUGGGGAUCAAACGGGAUUAGAUACCCCUGUAGUCCCUGUAUCUUAUAA